GCCUGGGUAGCUCAGUCAGUUGAGCAACCAACUUCAGCUCAGAUCAUGAUCUCAUGUUGUGAGUUCGAACCCGCCUCAGGCU
rnacentral:tRNA from 1 species